GUCUAUGGCCAUGCCACCCUGAACAUGCUCGAUCCCAUCUGAUCUCAGAAGCUAAGCAGGGUCGGGCCAGGUUAGUACUUGGAUGGGAGACCACCUAGGAAGACCUACAGGUGCUCUAGGCG
rnacentral:rRNA from 1 species